rnacentral:rRNA from 1 species
CGGGCUAAACCCGCGUACAUGCCACCGGGGCAUCCCGGAGGCAGGAAAGGCUUCGGCCGGACAGGGAUGGGCAUGCGGCGCAUUAGGCAGUAGGCGGGGUAACGGCCCACCUAACCGACGAUGCGUAGGGGUUCUGAGAGGAAGGUCCCCCACACUGGUACUGAGACACGGACCAGACUCCUACGGGAGGCAGCAGUGAGGAAUAUUGGUCAAUGGUCGGGAGACUGAACCAGCCAAGCCGCGUGAGGGAUGAAGGUACAGAGUAUCGUAAACCUCUUUUGUCAGGGAACAAAGGCGGGGACGUGUCCCCGGAUGAGUGUACCUGAAGAAAAAGCAUCGGCUAACUCCGUGCCAGCAGCCGCGGUAAUACGGAGGAUGCGAGCGUUAUCCGGAUUUAUUGGGUUUAAAGGGUGCGCAGGCGGUCUGUUAAGUCAGCGGUCAAAGCCCGGGGCUCAACCCCGGCCCGCCGUUGAAACUGGCAGUCCCGAGUUGGAGAGAAGUAUGCGGAAUGCGCGGUGUAGCGGUGAAAUGCAUAGAUAUCGCGCAGAACUCCGAUUGCGAAGGCAGCAUGCCGGCUCCACACUGACGCUGAGGCACGAAAGCGUGGGUAUCGAACAGGAUUAGAUACCCUGGUAGUCCACGCAGUAAACGA